rnacentral:lncRNA from 1 species
CUCAAGGACAAUGUUAGCAAAGGCUGGUGGUACAGCGUGAAAACGAUCAUUGUUCGUUGGUUUGGUGAUGAGUAUGAAGACUAUCCCUUCUUCCCGCAAAGUGUUUUCGAAUGGUGAACGUUGUAACAUCAGAACCGGAGCCUGUGUUGAUGACGAAAGCGCUUGCGAUGGUGGUGAUGGAGCUUCGCGUAUUGUUUGAACCGUUGGCUUGAGUGUGAAGGUUCGACCAUUGAAUUUGAAUGUAUAUGUAUUAAGAUAACCAUCAUGUAUAACACGGCGGUCAAACUCCCAUGGUCUUCUCAGUAAAAGGUGGCAAGCAUCCAUUGGGA